rnacentral:rRNA from 1 species
GACGAACGCUGGCGGCGUGCUUAACACAUGCAAGUUGAACGGAAAGGCCCUGCUUUUGUGGGGUGCUCGAGUGGCGAACGGGUGAGUAACACGUGAGUAACCUGCCCUUGACUUUGGGAUAACUUCAGGAAACUGGGGCUAAUACCGGAUAGGAGCUCCUGCUGCAUGGUGGGGGUUGGAAAGUUUCGGCGGUUGGGAUGGACUCGCGGCUUAUCAGCUUGUUGGUGGGGUAGUGGCUUACCAAGGCUUUGACGGGUAGCCGGCCUGAGUGGGUGACCGGCCACAUUGGGACUGAGAUACGGCCCAGACUCCUACGGGAGGCAGCAGUGGGGAAUAUUGCACAAUGGGCGGAAGCCUGAUGCAGCAACGCCGCGUGCGGGAUGACGGCCUUCGGGUUGUAAACCGCUUUCGCCUGUGACGAAGCGUGAGUGACGGUAAUGGGUAAAGAAGCACCGGCUAACUACGUG